rnacentral:rRNA from 1 species
UGGGGAAUAUUGGACACUGGGCGAAAGCCUGAUCCAGCCAUGCCGCGUGUGUGAAGAAGGCCUUCGGAUUGUAAAGCACUUUAAGUUGGGAGGUAGGGCAGUAAGCGAAUACCUUGCUGUUUUGACGUUACCGACAGAAUAAGCACCGGCUAACUCUGUGCCAGCAGCCGCGGUAAUACAGAGGGUGCAAGCGUUAAUCGGAAUUACUGGGCGUAAAGCGCGCGUAGGUGGUUCGUUAAGUUGAAUGUGAAAGCCCCGGGCUCAACCUGGGGACUGCAUCCAAAACUGGCGCACUGGAGUAGAGCAGAGGGUAGUGGAAUUUCCUGGGUAGCAGUGAAAUGCGUGGGUAUAGGAAGGAACACCAGUGGCUAAGGCGACCACCUGGGCUCAUACUGACACUGAGGUGCGAAAGCGUGGGGAGCAAACAGG